rnacentral:rRNA from 1 species
UACGUAGGGUGCAAGCGUUGUCCGGAUUUAUUGGGCGUAAAGAGCUCGUAGGCGGUCUGUCGCGUCGGAUGUGAAAACCCAGGGCUCAACCCUGGGCGUGCAUUCGAUACGGGCAGACUAGAGUAUGGCAGGGGAGACUGGAAUUCCUGGUGUAGCGGUGAAAUGCGCAGAUAUCAGGAGGAACACCGGUGCGAAGGCGGGUCUCUGGGCCAAACUGACGCUGAGGAGCGAAAGCUGGGGGAGCGAACAGG